rnacentral:rRNA from 1 species
AAAGCGUGCGCAGGCGGCUUUGCAAGACAGAGGUGAAAUCCCCGGGCUCAACCUGGGAACUGCCUUUGUGACUGCAAGGCUAGAGUACGGCAGAGGGAGAUGGAAUUCCGCGUGUAGCAGUGAAAUGCGUAGAUAUGCGGAGGAACACCGAUGGCGAAGGCAAUCUCCUGGGCCUGUACUGACGCUCAUGCACGAAAGCGUGGGGAGCAAACAGGAUUAGAUACCCUUGU